rnacentral:rRNA from 1 species
UACGUAGGCAGCGAGCGUUGUUCGGAGUUACUGGGCGUAAAGCGUGCGUAGGCGGUUUUGUAAGUUUGGUGUGAAAUCUCCCGGCUCAACUGGGAGGGUGCGCCGAAAACUGCAAGGCUGGAGUGUGGGAGAGGUAGGCGGAAUUCCUGGUGUAGCGGUGAAAUGCGUAGAUAUCCGAAAGAACACCGGUGGCGAAGGCGGGUCUACUGGGCCGAUACUGACGCUGAGGAGCGAAAGCGUGGGGAGCAAACAGG